AGUCGCUCCGAGCAGCGUUGCACUGCUGCUGCGGGGGCUUUUAAACGGCUGGGGGACGGUGCAGGGCUAGGGUUGGAAGGGGACGUUUGCUGGUUCAGCGGGAGGCGAGCGAGUUGGAUGCCACGAGGCGCUGAGGGGCAGCUGUGAGCCGAACCGGUCCGUUUCCGUUCCCGGGUGACGGGCGUAUAUUCGCUGUUAGCCGGAGGACUAAUCACCAUAGAGAGCGGCGGAUGAGCUGCGCAGAGCGGUUAGAUCGGCACUUCCGCAUUUCUGGGCGCAUGUGUUUUGCCGCUGGCGCGACUCGGCGGCAGGCAGCGGCAGUUCCGCGCGUUGGCCACGCGGUGGCAGCAGAGACCACGGCAAGAACUUUCCUGCCGGAUCGAUGCCGGGAUUCGGCGGGGAACUUUGAGAUCACAGCCUGAAGCAGUGAUGGAGCAACCUGGUGAGGGGUGCAGCCCUGCCUGCACAGGUGGAAGCAAUGCAGCC